GGGGCCCCCAGCCCCCGGCCCCACCUGAUUUAUGAACCGAGGCUGUCUCCAUGAGCGUCUGGGUUUCUCCUUUUGUAUUCCAUCUGGCGGCUUUUCCAACUAGAUGACUGGCCUGGCUGGAAACAUUAGAAGGGACUGAGGCAGCGAGAAGUCUAAAAUAGGAAGACGCCAGGGACGACUGGCCUGGCUGCCCGCGAUGCUGGCUGCGGGGAUCUGGCCCGGCUGUGCAGACAGAAAACCUAAGAGACAUUUCCUGCAGUGUGGGGGAUGCAGAAAUUGACUCAUCCAUCCAUUCAGUUAGUCACUAAAUUUUUUUGGAGCAUCUACUCGGCGCCAGACACCACGCCAGGUGCUGGAUUUGCCAUAGGAAGCAAGGCUCGGCAUCUCACCUCGUGGAGCUCCCAGGCCAGAGCAGACACAGAAAGGAAAGGAAGAACGGAAGCCCAGGGAUCUGAAAGCUGGAAGAGGGAACGUCGGGGUAAAGCGCGGCUGGAGGAGGGAGCCGUCCUUUGGAGAACCAGUCAAGCUUUUGCGGAGGAGAGGCCAGCCGAGGUGCACUGAGGGAUGAAGAGGAGUUCGUCAGGCAGACCAGCGGAGCAAGGGCAGGCCACACCGCUGCAUGUCACGCCCACCAUCCUGGGUUGGGUGAGCCUUCACGUUACCUUCCAACCUGGGUUCUGAUUUUCUAUCUUAAUCCUGCAAUCCAAGGCCAAGUGGAGCCCCUGGGGAGCCCACAGGUCUUGCUUCUCCUGCGGCUCGGAGCCAGGGUAGAGUCUGACCCUGAUGCCUCCGGGCCCCCUCCGAACACAGACUCACGUGGGCUUGAGUCCACUCCGCAGCACCCUGGCUGGGUCUCUCGGUGAGGACAGGUUUUAUGGUGAGUCAGGAAAAUGCCAAGAAGCCUGGAAGCAUUUUACCAACACGGCAAUUGUAGCAGUCCAUGCAAUUCAGCAAACUUUAGCCAGAGACUGUGCCAAGCGCUGGAGACGCACAAGCGGAUCAGAGUCCCUGCCCGUGAGGUCCUCUGCUUGGAUAGGGGCAGGGUGGGUGGGGAGGUAAACACGGGCAUCAGUCAGGAGGGAGGAUCAGCAGAGUGACUCACCCCCGCCUAGUUGCAGGAAGUGUUUGAAACACUCUCUAAGGAUGGCUAGUUUUCCAGCUGGUAGGCAUGGGGAGAUGGCAGACAGAGCAUGUAGGGUGGCUGGACCUGACAGAGCAGAGGCCAAGGGGUGGGGCCACUAAUCCCUCUGAUUUGCUUGGGGCAGAAGAUACUAUGUAUCAGGGAGCAGCACAUUUUUGUUCUGUAAAGGGUAGUAGUUGUAAAUUCAGAGAGUAAAUAUUUGAAGCUUUCCAGGCCAUACGGCCUCUGUUGUAACUACUCAACUCAGGAGCAGCAAGAGAGUGAGUGUGGCUGUGUUCCAAUAAAACUUGAUUUG